rnacentral:rRNA from 1 species
UAAACGUAAACCGUACGGUAGGACAAUCUACCCUGGAGUGGGGAAUAACGCUGGGAAACCGGCGCUAAUACCGCAUAAUCCCAGAGGGCAAAGGAGCAAUUCGCUUCAGGAGGAGUCCGCGGCCGAUUAGCUAGUUGGCAGGGUAAAAGCCUACCAAGGCAACGAUCGGUAGCCGGCCUGAGAGGGCACACGGCCACACUGGCACCGAAACACGGGCCAG